rnacentral:rRNA from 1 species
AGCAGCCGCGGUAAUUCCAGCUCCAAUAGCGUAUAUUAAAGUUGCUGCAGUUAAAAAGCUCGUAGUUGAAUUUCGGGACUAAUAUGUCGGUCGUGCCUCGGUACGUACUGGCUUAUUGGUUUCUCCUUUCUGAAGAACCAUGAUGUCAUUUAUUUGGUGUCGUGGGGAAUCAGGACUGUUACUUUGAAAAAUUAGAGUGUUUAAAGCAGGCUCACGCUUGAAUACAUUAGCAUGGAAUAAUGAAAUAGGACGUUUGAUUCUAUUUUGUUGGUUUCUAGGAUCGACGUAAUGAUUAAUAGGGAUAGUUGGGGGCAUUAGUAUUCAAUUGUCAGAGGUGAAAUUCUUGGAUUUAUUGAAGACUAACUACUGCGAAAGCAUUUGCCAAGGAUGUUUUCAUUAAUCAAGAACGAAAGUUAGGGGAUCGAAGACGAUCAGAUACCGUCGUAGUCUUAACCAUAAACUAUGCCGACUAGGGAUCGG